rnacentral:tRNA from 1 species
UGGGAUGUCGUCUAAUGGUAGGACAGCGGACUCUGGCUCCGUACGUGGGGGUUCAAAUCCUCCCAUCCCAGCCA